UACGUAGGGUGCAAGCGUUAAUCGGAAUUACUGGGCGUAAAGCGUGCGCAGGCGGUUUUGUAAGUCUGUCGUGAAAUCCCCGGGCUCAACCUGGGAAUUGCGAUGGAGACUGCAAGGCUAGAAUCUGGCAGAGGGGGUAGAAUUCCACGUGUAGCAGUGAAAUGCGUAGAGAUGUGGAGGAACACCGAUGGCGAAGGCAGCCCCCUGGGUCAAGAUUGACGCUCCAUGCACGAAAGCGUGGGGAGCAAACGAGG
rnacentral:rRNA from 1 species